CCGCGGUAAUACGGAGGGUGCAAGCGUUAUCCGGAAUCAUUGGGUUUAAAGGGUCCGCAGGCGGUCAAUUAAGUCAGAGGUGAAAUCCUAUAGCUUAACUAUAGAACUGCCUUUGAUACUGGUUGACUUGAGUUAUACGGAAGUAGAUAGAAUAUGUAGUGUAGCGGUGAAAUGCAUAGAUAUUACAUAGAAUACCGAUUGCGAAGGCAGUCUACUACGUAUAUACUGACGCUCAUGGACGAAAGCGUGGGGAGCGAACAGGAUUAGAUACCCUGGUAGUCCACGCCGUAAACGAUGGACACUAGUUGUUGGAAUUAUUCAGUGUCUAAGCGAAAGUGAUAAGUGUCCCACCUGGGGAGUACGAUCGCAAGAUUGAAACUCAAAGGAAUUGACGGGGGCCCGCACA
rnacentral:rRNA from 1 species